AACGAACGCUGGCGGCAGGCCUAACACAUGCAAGUCGAGCGAGGACUUCGGUUCUAGCGGCGGACGAGUGAGUAACGCGUGGGAAUGUGCCCUUCUCUACGGAAUAGCCCUGGGAAACUGGGAGUAAUACCGUAUACGCCCUAUUGGGGAAAGAUUUAUCGGAGAAGGAUCAGCCCGCGUUGGAUUAGGUAGUUGGUGGGGUAAUGGCCUACCAAGCCGACGAUCCAUAGCUGGUUUGAGAGGAUGAUCAGCCACACUGGGACUGAGACACGGCCCAGACUCCUACGGGAGGCAGCAGUGGGGAAUCUUAGACAAUGGGGGCAACCCUGAUCUAGCCAUGCCGCGUGAGUGAUGAAGGCCUUAGGGUUGUAAAGCUCUUUCAGCUGGGAAGAUAAUGACGGUACCAGCAGAAGAAGCCCCGGCUAACUCCGUG
rnacentral:rRNA from 1 species